rnacentral:tRNA from 1 species
AGAAAUUUAGGUUAACCAAACCAAGAGCCUUCAAAGCUCUAAAUAGGGCACAACCCCUAAUUUCUG